CUUUAGGUCUUAUUUCCUUGCCUGCAAGCUUUACCUUUCACCCUCUGCCAAGAAACAAAAAGGUAUCCACAACCUUUUCCAAUAAUUGGGCAAUGAGUUGGCUGGCCUCAAUGUGCACUGUCCCCAAUGUAAGGCACGCCCAUCAUGUUGUAAUUUCUUAGGGAGUCAUGUGACAUACUGCAUUAUAAGGAAAGACCUAAAAGACAUCAAGUCAAACAGGCUCAUAUUCAAGCACUAGACAGAUCAAAUCAGAAAGAGCUUUGAAAUUAUCAUGAAGGACCCCCAUGUCCGUUGUGAAGCGCUCUCUCAACUCUUUGGAAGAUGCAUCAAGCCCCAUACGGAGUGCCCUGCACAUAAAACAGGAAACAUCUUGUCUGUGAACGACUUUCACCAGCGCUGCAUGUUGGCACAUCAUUACUGCGAUGUUGAAGAAGAGUUCUUCGUGAACCUGGAGGAGUUCUUUGACCACGGGUUUGAUUACGACUUCACCAACAUGUCUUCAUCUUCCGAAUGUACCAGGGGAAACGAGAAGUACGAGAGGCCCCUCGGUUGGUACCGCAUGGCUGUGAAGGUUCUGGAUAAAUACCCAGAUGGGAACACCUGGCUGGGCAGAUCUGGGUGGAGGAGUGAGUCUUCACCAGGAGAGUGGCCAGCCUCCUUCCAUGGAACCAGCAUCGAUGGAGCCAAAGGCAUCAUCCAGGACCAUUACAUACCGGGAUCUGGACAAGCAUACGGAAGAGGGAUCUACUCCACUCCACUCAUGAGUAUUGCCGGUGAUCAAUACGCCAAGAUGUUCGUUUCAAAGAAGAAUGGCAAAAGAUACAAAGUGGUGAUUCAGAACAGGAUCAAUCCCAUGCAGAGAAAGAUCUGCGCCGCAACCGACUACUGGCUGAUUCCUGUUCAGCAAGGAACAUCAAAGGAGGAGGAGAAAAGGAUCGUGGAGAGCUCCAUUCGCCCGUACGGCAUCCUGAUUAAAGAGGUCUAAAUAAGAUGUGUGCAGGAUCAUUUAAGAGAAAAGUAGUUCAGUUAAGUGUUAAAGCUAAACAGCAAUUAUUUUCAGGUAAUACAAUAUGAGUAAUGUUUCUCCAUGUGAACUAAGUCAAGUGGCUGUAAACUGAAUAAACUUGAACUGUGUGUCCAACUGGGUGUCCAGUCUGUGUUUGUUCCCCAGUGAAAAUGGCCCAGCAGCCAGGCACUUGCCUAUUGAUCUCAUAGCCUCAAUGAAUAGAAAAAGGAUGGUAAAAUAACUUGGAGAACAGUAAUUUUUUAUGGAGAACCCUGUGUACUGUGUUCUUCCAUUCAGUUAAGACAUACAGUAUAUUAUAAUACUUAACCCUAUUUGUUUUGCAGUGCUGAAAACUUU
ensembl:lncRNA